rnacentral:rRNA from 1 species
AACGAACGCUGGCGGCGUGCCUAACACAUGCAAGUCGAGCGAGAAAGCCCGCAAGGGUGAGUAAAGCGGCGCACGGGUGCGUAACACGUGGAUAAUCUGCCCUAGAGUCCGGAAUAACUCGCCGAAAGGCGUGCUAAUGCCGGAUGAGACCACGGGAGCUUCGGCUCCUGCGGGAAAAGGUGGCCUCUGUACACAAGCUAUCGCUUUAGGAUGAGUCCGCGGCCCAUCAGCUAGUUGGCGGGGUAAUGGCCCACCAAGGCAACAACGGGUAGCGGGUCUGAGAGGACGAUCAGCCACACUGGAACUGAGACACGGUCCAGACUCCUACGGGAGGCAGCAGGGGGGAAUCUUGCGCAAUGGGCGAAAGCCUGACGCAGCAACGCCGCGUGUGUGAUGAAGGUCUUCGGAUCGUAAAGCACUGUCGCGAGGGACGAAUAAGGGUCGGGCUAAUAUCCCGGUCCGAUGACGGUACCUCGAGAGGAAGCACCGGCUAACUCUGUGCCAGCCGCCGCCGUAACAC